CCCAACUCCCAGAAGAAGCAUUUGAUCCUCCAGUCAUGCCAAGGAGCUGAUCUGCUGGAGGUGCUGCACUACCACCCCUGUGACUCCAGGUCAUCCCCUGAAUCUGAGUACAUGAAAUGUCUGUUGAACCUGCAGGUCCAGCACAUCAGCUCCAGGUUUGCUGUGUACCUCACAGCAAAGCCCAGCACCAGCAGGGAGGUGCUGGAGAGCAAAGGAAUCCUGGUGGCUGAUGUCAGCACCUUCCCUGGGAUGGUACAGAAAGUGGCUGCUCCAUUUAGAAGAAGCUGCUGGUGAUGAAGCAGAACCAGAGCUCAGCUCCUCCUGGGCUCCCAGGGAACCACUUGGGGCAUCCUGGGCCUCAGUGGGGUGGCCCUGAGGUACCUGUGGGGUUGGGUUGGGCUGCUCAGCUCUCCUUCUCUGUACAUAGGAAUUAUUUAAAGGUGGGGAACUCCAAUCCCAACCAGGGAUUUGCUGCUCCCCCCCUGAGCUGUUGCACAUGGGACUGAAGCUGUUUCCACUUUAACCCCGUUUUAAGUUAUUGGGAUGGAUUUUCACGUGCAGCUGACCUUGGGAGGAAUAGGAAUAAGAAAUUGAUAAACAAACAAAAUAAUUUACUGUUUACUUGAAGGUGAGGAGCAAUCCGAGACCAAGGAUAAUAAAGGCAACUUUUUUUUUUCAUGUGGUUUUUAUUUUGGGGUUGGUUUGUUUGGGUUUUUUUUUGGGGGGGGUGAUUUCUACACUACAUUUCAAGUCACCCUUGUUGUUGCCUCUUGGUACAGUCACACUGCUGGGGCUCUGGAAUGUUCCAGCAAGUGGAAAAGUUGUAAAUAAGGAAAUGGCUGAGGGGAUGGGGGUUAAACAACAAAAAAUAGUUAAAAAAAAAACCCUAAAAAAGAGACAAAAAUGUUCAUAUUUAUGGUGGACAACCCCACGUCAGGAGUGAAGUGCAGCGUUCCAGGCUGGUGUGAGCUGCAUUCCUGGAUGGAUGUGGAGGGCAGGGCUGUCCUGGGUUUUUGGUUUUUGGUUUUUUAUUUUAAUAAAAGUAUGCAAGAUGUUCUGUACA